UGGGGAAUAUUGCACAAUGGGCGAAAGCCUGAUGCAGCGACGCCGCGUGAGGGAUGACGGCCUUCGGGUUGUAAACCUCUUUCAGCAGGGAAGAAGCGAAAGUGACGGUACCUGCAGAAGAAGCGCCGGCUAACUACGUGCCAGCAGCCGCGGUAAUACGUAGGGCGCAAGCGUUGUCCGGAAUUAUUGGGCGUAAAGAGCUCGUAGGCGGUUAGUCGCGUCUGCUGUGAAAACUCGAGGCUCAACCUCGGGCUUGCAGUGGGUACGGGCUGACUAGAGUGCGGUAGGGGUGACUGGAAUUCCUGGUGUAGCGGUGGAAUGCGCAGAUAUCAGGAGGAACACCGAUGGCGAAGGCAGGUCACUGGGCCGCAACUGACGCUGAGGAGCGAAAGCAUGGGGAGCGAACAGGAUUAGAUACCCUGGUAGUCCAUGCCGUAAACGUUGGGCACUAGGUGUGGGGUCCAUUUCCACGGAUUCCGUGCCGCAGCAAACGCAUUAAGUGCCCCGCCUGGGGAGUACGGCCGCAAGGCU
rnacentral:rRNA from 1 species